UGCCUGAUGGAGGGGGAUAACUACUGGAAACGGUAGCUAAUACCGCAUAACGUCGCAAGACCAAAGAGGGGGACCUUCGGGCCUCUUGCCAUCGGAUGUGCCCAGAUGGGAUUAGCUAGUAGGUGGGGUAACGGCUCACCUAGGCGACGAUCCCUAGCUGGUCUGAGAGGAUGACCAGCCACACUGGAACUGAGACACGGUCCAGACUCCUACGGGAGGCAGCAGUGGGGAAUAUUGCACAAUGGGCGCAAGCCUGAUGCAGCCAUGCCGCGUGUAUGAAGAAGGCCUUCGGGUUGUAAAGUACUUUCAGCGGGGAGGAAGGGAGUAAAGUUAAUACCUUUGCUCAUUGACGUUACCCGCAGAAGAAGCACCGGCUAACUCCGUGCCAGCAGCCGCGGUAAUACGGAGGGUGCAAGCGUUAAUCGGAAUUACUGGGCGUAAAGCGCACGCAGGCGGUUUGUUAAGUCAGAUGUGAAAUCCCCCGGGCUC
rnacentral:rRNA from 1 species